rnacentral:rRNA from 1 species
CCCCUAGUUGUUCUGGGCCGCACGCGCGCUACACUGAACAGUUCAACAAGUCUUAACCUUGGCCGAUAGGUCUGGGUAAUCUUUGAACGCUGUUCGUGAUUGGGAUAGACCUUUGCAAUUAUGGGUCUUCAACGAGGAAUUCCUAGUAAACGCAAGUCAUCAGCUUGCAUUGAUUACGUCCCUGCCCUUUGUACACACCGCCCGUCGCACCUACCGAUUGAAUGGUCCGGUGAAAUCUCGGGACGGCGGCUUGGUCGCUUGCGUCCGACUGCUGAAACUUGAUUAAACCAUAUCAUUUAGAGGAAGGUGAAGUCGUAACA